GACGAACGCUGGCGGCGUGCCUAAUACAUGCAAGUUGAGCGCUGAAGGUUGGUACUUGUACCAACUGGAUGAGCAGCGAACGGGUGAGUAACGCGUGGGGAAUCUGCCUUUGAGCGGGGGACAACAUUUGGAAACGAAUGCUAAUACCGCAUAAAAACUUUAAACACAAGUUUUAAGUUUGAAAGAUGCAAUUGCAUCGCUCAAAGAUGAUCCCGCGUUGUAUUAGCUAGUUGGUGAGGUAAGGGCUCACCAAGGCGAUGAUACAUAGCCGACCUGAGAGGGUGAUCGGCCACAUUGGGACUGAGACACGGCCCAAACUCCUACGGGAGGCAGCAGUAGGGAAUCUUCGGCAAUGGACGAAAGUCUGACCGAGCAACGCCGCGUGAGUGAAGAAGGUUUUCGGAUCGUAAAACUCUGUUGGUAGAGAAGAACGUUGGUGAGAGUGGAAAGCUCAUCAAGUGACGGUAACUACCCAGAAAGGGACGGCUAACUACGUG
rnacentral:rRNA from 1 species